CCUGUUGUUCCAAACAACAAGUUGACCAAUCAAGUACCGAAGGUGAAGCUUUUCCAUCCGUUGAAUCUGAACUGUAUAAAAUGCGCUAAACGCGGCACGCUGCAUCAUUUGAGAAGACCUGCAGCAGCUGGAGCCUUUGAGAACCAACUGCUGCUUUAGCAAAACUGAUCAUCCAACAACCUGAAUAACAAUUUCUAACGUGGACGAGAACAAAGGAAAUGAUGAUGAUGAGGAACGUGCUUCUUCGUUUGCCAUUUGUUCUGCUCUGCAUGGCUGCUGUGUUUGAGGAGAUCAACGGAGGCCCAACUUAUGAAGACUUCAAAAAUAAUCACAUCGAGGGAAAC